rnacentral:rRNA from 1 species
UACGUAGGGGGCGAGCGUUGUCCGGAUUUAUUGGGUUUAAAGGGUGCGUAGGCGGCUUUGUAAGUCAGUGGUGAAAUACUCCAGCUUAACUGGAGGGGUGCCAUUGAUACUGCGGAGCUUGAGUACAGAUGAGGUAGGCGGAAUUGACGGUGUAGCGGUGAAAUGCAUAGAUAUCGUCAAGAACACCGAUAGCGAAGGCAGCUUACUGGGCUGUAACUGACGCUGAUGCACGAAAGUGUGGGGAUCAAACAGG